rnacentral:lncRNA from 1 species
CACCUUCUAGGGAUAAUGUCAUCCUGCUUAGAAAUAAUUCCCAAUGCAAGAUUACACAUGAGACCUGUUCAAAUACAUCUGUUAAAAUUUUGGAAACCAGUUUCUCAGGAUCUGGAGUUCAAAGUCCCAAUUACUGCACAUCUAAGAAGCCAUCUAAAAUGGUGGUUAGAUCAAACCAACAUAAAAAAGGGGAGAUCAUUGAAACAUUGGGAAACCCAUGCCACUAUGACAACGGAUGCCUCAACAUCAGUGGGUUGGGGAGGUCACAUGGGGACUCAGAUAGCACAAGGAACCUGGAACCUAUCAGAGAAAAAACUCCAUAUCAACUGCUUAGAAAUGGAAGCAGUGAUAAGAACGAUAAAACACUUCUUAUCCCAAUUGAGGGGGAAAAAUGUAUUAAUACGUUGCGACAACUCAACAGUGGUACAAUACAUCAAUCGUCAAGGGGGGACCAAAUCAAUGAUUCUUUGUCUAAAAACUUGGGAAUUAUGGAAUUUGGCAAUCGAUCAUCAGAUUCAAUUGAAAGCAGCCCACAUUGCGGGCAAAGCAAACAUUCUAGCGGAUUUAUUGUCGAGAAACAAAAUAAGACACACAGAAUGGACACUAGAAAAAUCUAUAGUACAAAAAAUAUUCCUAAAGCUAGGGUCACCAAAAAUAGAUCUGUUUGCAUCAAUCCACAACAAACAAACUCAGAUUUUUUGCACGUGGUUUCCUCACAAUCAAGCUUAUGCUCUAGACGCACUGUCAAUUCCAUGGCAGAAUCUGUUCGGGUAUGCAUAUCCUCCAAUAUGCCUAAUACCAAAAAUUCUACAACACAUGUCCCAGUACAGGUGUCAAAUUCUUCUAAUAGCACCACAUUGGCCAAGAAGACCUUGGUACCCAGACCUGUUGAAAUUACUAGUAGAUUACCCUUUAAAAAUUCCAAUCGGAAACAAUCUUUUACACCAGCCGGAAUCAAGGAUUUAUCAUCCAAAUCCAGAAAUAUUCAAUCUAACUGUAUGGCCUCUAUCAACAGACUCUUUAAAAAGAGAGGCUUUUCUAAGGACACUAGACAAUUAUUGUCUGCCUCAUGGAGGGCAGGAACUCAAAAAGAUUAUUCUGGCAAAUUCAAAAAAUUCUGUAGCUGGUGUAAUGAAAGGGAAAUUGAUCCCUAUACUGCCUCUUUGACAGAGGUAGCAGAUUUUUUGACAGGUCUGUUUACUAAGGGACUUCAAUAUAGAACAAUAGCUGGAUAUAGGUCCAUGUUAUCUACAGUCUUACCGCCUAUAGAAAAAAUUCCUGUAGGCCAACAUCCAUACAUAAUAAGACUUUUAAAAGGUGUAUUCAAUUCAAGACCACCUAAAAUUAAACUUUUACCAGAAUGGGAUCUUCUGAAAGUUUUAGACAUGUUACAAAAAAGUCCAUUUGAACCAAUGAAAAACAGUGUUUUAAAAUAUGUUACUUGGAAAACUAUUUUCUUAUUUGCUAUUACUACUUUCAGACGCUGUAGUGAUCUUCAAGCAUUGAGAAUAGGAGAUGGUAAUAUUAGUGUACAUAGUACUGGUGUGUUUUUCAUUAGAGAAGGCCUUUCAAAGCAGGAUCGUCCUGGACAUAAUGGUUCAAAAAUAUUUGUUCCAAGUUUUAAGGACAACAAAUUAUUGAAUCCGAAAAGGUCAUUGUUUUAUUAUUUGAAAAUGACAGAUAACUUCCGUAAUUGUGACAGAAGUAACAGUAAACUGUUUUUAAGUGUAAAUAGUCCGCACAACCCGGUCUCUAGUCAGACAAUUUCGAAUUGGAUUGUCCAAACCAUCCAAAUGGCAUAUAAUGACAAAAACAAGUCUGUCAAGGCGCAUAGUACAAGAGCUAUUGGUCCUUCAUGGGCCCUAUUUAAUGGUUCAUCUAUGAAAUCCAUCAUGGAAGCAGCAGACUGGAGUAGAGAGUCUACUUUCACGAAAUUCUAUUUGAGAAAUCUAGAACCAAGCGUUUUAUCUUAAUUGUUGAAUAAGAAAAAAAGAAAGAAAAAAUAUAUAAAAAUAAACUUUAAAAAAAUAUUGUACAUUCAUGUAUAUAAUAUAUAGAUAUUGAAAUCCUCAUUUCCGACGAGAUGCGAUGGAAUUUUAGAUGAUGAAUAUAGACUACAAAGUGUUUGAAUGAUAGAAAAACAGAAUAUUCAUUAUAGUAUUAGUGUAAAUAAUAGAUGAAUUUUAAAUGGAGAAGAGGAGGAGUGAUUUUAUUGUUUUAAAAAUGUACAGUGUAUAUAUAUAAAUUGAACAAGAAAUUACUACCAACCACAGAACAAAGUACUGCUUUGAACUCUGGAUGUAUCCAAUUAUGUAAACCUAUCAGGUAAGUGUAACGUAGUGAAUAUAAAAUUAUAUAAUUUGGUUCACAAAUUUGAAUUUUGUGAACGGAGUUACACUUACCUGAUAUACUACCCACCUCCUCCCCUCAGUAAUUUCUUUUGGUGAAUUCAGCUGGAUUUUCGCCGGAGAAAACUGAGGUUCUAAGCGCUUAACUGAUAUAGAUGUAGAUGAUUUUUAAAAGAUCAGCUAAGCGCUUGAGCGAGAUAAGACCAAAUACCGGAGAGAAUAUCCAAUUAUGUAAACCUAUCAGGUAAGUGUAACUCCGUUCACAAAAUUCAAAUUUGUGAACCAAAUUAUAUAAUUUGAAUUCAGACAG